rnacentral:lncRNA from 1 species
GCUGGCAGCCGGUGUGUCCGUGGCUGUGGCUUCAGGCCUUGGGGCUGGUGCUGGUUUCUCAGACUGGGUCUGGGGCUUAAGGCACUGGGGCCGGUGUAGGCCUCUCUGGCUGUGACUUCAGGCCCUUGGGCCGGUGCUGGCCGUGCUGGUUGGGGCUUCAGGUGCCGGCCUCUCUAAGUUUGGCUGUGGCUUUAAGCCCCUGCACUGUUUCAAGCCUUUCAAGCUGUGCCUUUAGUCCCCAGGGCCUUUUUUGGCCUGCCUGGCUGUGGCUUUGGCUUUAAGCCCCAUGGCCGGCGUCAGCCUCUCAGGCUGUGGCUUUAGGGCCUGGGCUCAGUGCUGGCCUCUUUUUUUGUGGCUUUAGACCCCAGAGCUGGUGCCAGUCUCUCAGGCUGUGCCUGUGGCUUCAGGCCCCAGGGUCCGUGCUGGUUUGUCUGGCUGUGGCUGUGGCUUUAGGCCCAAAGCUGG